rnacentral:rRNA from 1 species
GGAGAGUGCAAACGUUGUUCGGAUUCACUGGGCGUAAAGGGCACGUAGGCGGCUCGGCAAAUCGGUCGUGGAAUCCCGACGCUUACCGUCGGAACGGCGGCCGAAAAUACCGGGCUCGAGGGCGUGAGGGGUCACUGGAACUCCUGGUGAAGCGGUGAAAUGCGUAGAUAUCAGGAGGAACGCCGGAGGCGAAAGCGAGUGACUGGCGCGUUCCUGACGCUGAGGUACGAAAGCUAGGGGAGCAAACAGGAUUAGAUACCCUGGUAGUCCUAGCCGUAAACGAUGGACACUGAGUGGAGGAGGGCUUGCCUUUCUCUGCUGCAGCUAACGCGUUAAGUGUCCCGCCUGGGGAGUACGGCCGCAAGGUUA